rnacentral:rRNA from 1 species
UACGUAGGGUGCAAGCGUUUGUCCGGAAUUAUUGGGCGUAAAGGAGCUCGUGAGGCGGUCUGUCGCGUCGGAUGUGAAAACCCACGGGCUCAACCCGUCGGCCUGCAUUCGAUACGGGCAGACGUAGAGUUCGGUAGGGGAGACUGGAAUUCCUGGUGUAGCGGUGAAAUGCGCAGAUAUAGGAGGAACACCGGUGGCGGAAGGCGGGUCUCUGGGCGAAACUGACGCUGAGGAGCGAAAGCCGGUGGG